rnacentral:tRNA from 1 species
GCCCCCUUAGCUCAAUGGUAGAGCAGCUGCCUUUUAAGCAGUUGACGUAGGUCCGAUUCCUACAGGGGGUA